UCCGUAGACGGUGCGGUAAGUCGGAAGUGAAAUCUCUGGGCUUAACCCAGAGGCUGCUUCCGAAACUGCCGUGCUAGAGUGCGAGAGAGGCGAGUGGAAUUGCGGGUGUAGCGGUGAAAUGCGUAGAUAUCCGCAGGGACAUCCGAGGCGAAGGCGGCUCGCUGGAUCGCAACUGACGCUGAGGGACGAAAGCUAGGGGAGCAAACAGGAUUAGAUACCCUGGUAGUCCUAGCCCUAAACCAUCAGGACUUGGGGUUUGCCCUGUACGGGGCAAGUCCCGUAGCUAACGCGUUAAGUCCUGCGCCUGGGGAGUACGGUCGCAAGGCUGAA
rnacentral:rRNA from 1 species